rnacentral:rRNA from 1 species
AUUGAACGCUGGCGGCAGGCCUAACACAUGCAAGUCGGGCGAGAGGCGGACGGGUGAGUAAUGUAUGGGGAUCUGCCUGAUGGCGGGGGAUAACUACUGGAAACGGUAGCUCAUACCGCAUACCGUCAGAUGAACCCAUCUGGGAUUAGCUAGUAGGUAAGGUAACGGCUUACCUCGGCGACGAUCCCUAGCUGGUCUGCGAGGAUGAUCAGCCACACUGGGACUGAGACACGGCCCAGACUCACACGGGAGGCAGCAGUGGGGAAUAUUGCACAAUGGGAGCAAGCCGGAUGCAGCCAUGCCGCGUGUAUGAAGAAGGCCUUAGGGUUGUAAAGUACUUUCAGUCGGGAGUCGUUACCGACAGAAGAAGCACCGGCUAACUCCGUGCCAGCAGCCGCGGUAAUAC